UGAUUACGGGUAUUCUCGGGUUAAUAAUACAGUUAAUUGAUGUUAUUGCUUGAGAAUACACGUAGUGAC
ncrna:Patiria miniata microRNA pmi-mir-137 precursor